UUUACUUCUUCAGGCGUCGAGUGGCGGACGGGUGAGUAAUGCAUAGGAAUCUGCCCUAUAGUUUGGGAUAACUACUCGAAAGAGUGGCUAAUACCGGAUGUGGACUACGGUUUAAAGCAGGGGACCUUCGGGCCUUGCGCUAUAGGAUGAGCCUAUGUGGGAUUAGCUAGUUGGUGAGGUAAAGGCUCACCAAGGCGACGAUCUCUAGCUGGUCUGAGAGGAUGAUCAGCCACACUGGGACUGAGACACGGCCCAGACUCCUACGGGAGGCAGCAGUGGGGAAUAUUGGACAAUGGGCGGAAGCCUGAUCCAGCAAUACCGCGUGUGUGAAGAAGGCCUUCGGGUUGUAAAGCACUUUUGUCAGGGAGAAUGGCAGUUGAGGUUAAUACCCUUAGCUGUUGAUGUUACCCCCAAGAAUAAGCACGGGGUUAANUCCGUGCCAGCAGC
rnacentral:rRNA from 1 species